GACAACCCUCUAUGAUGCAUAUAAUGAGUGUGACAAGAAUUUGUAAUGUCACCUUAAUUUCCCACACUGUCCUUCCCACCGGGCAAGGAGUUCAGAGAGUCAGAAAGGAGCCAACCACCCACUGCCAUAUUUCAUCUGAGCAGCUGCAACCUGAGUUGAAUCAGAGGCUUUUGAAAUUCGGGGACCUUUUGUUCAGUUUGCUCUAAUGCGAUGAGCUAGAUGGGAUAGAAGUCCUAGGUAUCAUUAACACAGAAUUAAUUCAAAAUGUAGAGCUUAGAUAAAAGCAGAGUCCAAGGAGGGCUAAUCGGUGCCUGGCAGCCCACGCUAUAAUCACAUGCCGAUUACUUUGUUAGUCAUCUCUUCAUCAGUGCUCUCAACCCACUCCCUGCUCCUUCUGCAGUAAACUUUAAUUAACCACAGAAACACUGAAUUGGAGACACGCGCUGAGCAUAACAAGUUACAGAGAUGGAGAAGUCUAUGGUCUUGCACCUCAGAUGCUGGAGAUACAGUUAUAGGGCCAGAGGGAAGAAGCCAACUAUCUUGACUCAUAUGGAGAGGUCUAUUCUUCUCUUCACUGCAUGGAGGAGUUGUGGUAGGUGAAUAAUUGCCCACACGGCGAGGGAACAGUAGGCUCCAAUACGCCUUCCAUCACUGCAUGUUACAAUCUCAUAGUCCAAAGCAAUAUCAUCAUGAAAGUUGUAGUUAGUAUGUAUUUAGCUUCUAUGUAUUCAGCAAGAGAUACAGAGCAAGGGUGGGAUUCUCAAAAACACAUAGGGGACUUGGGAGCACAAGCCCUUGCCCUCAAUGGGGUUCAUGUUCCUAAGCCACAUAGGCACUUGAAAAUACCACAAACAUUCAGAAGUGCUAGUGAUUUUAAGUGGCUCAGUUUUGGGGUACCCACCUUGAGACACAUUAAAAGGACCUGAUUUUCAACACUUUCUGUAAAUCAGGCUCCUUUAAGAGGUCACAGUUAGUUAUCCACAAAACAGAGGCACCUAAAAUCACUACUCAUCUUGUAAAUCCUUGGCUGUAUUUAUCAAAUGAUAUUAUUGAUAACAUACAUAGAAUGAACUAUUAACUUAUCUCCAGGGUCAGACAGACUGACACCCCUAACUCUGGAGAUAAAUUCUUGCUGUAUUCAAAGGUUGUCCAUGCCGGUAGGAAGUUUGUAUGUGGCAGCUGGCAGAGUUUAGGGCAGAGAGCUAAAGAAUGAUUUCAGCUAGGCUCUGUGGUCAGCAUGAACCACAGAUCAAUAUCAUGCUUCAUUAUACAGCCUCGUCCAUCAGAAUCUGCUUCCCUUCAUUGCCCAGUGGGGUUGUCUUCGGAGUCCUGUCAGAUACAGGGUUCCUACCAGGAUCUAUCCUGUCAACCCAGCUGGAACUUUGCUUGAA